rnacentral:rRNA from 1 species
AGUGAACGCUGGCGGUAGGCCUAACACAUGCAAGUCGAACGGCAGCACAGUAAGAGCUUGCUCUUACGGGUGGCGAGUGGCGGACGGGUGAGGAAUACAUCGGAAUCUACUUUUUCGUGGGGGAUAACGUAGGGAAACUUACGCUAAUACCGCAUACGACCUACGGGUGAAAGCAGGGGAUCUUCGGACCUUGCGCGAUUGAAUGAGCCGAUGUCGGAUUAGCUAGUUGGCGGGGUAAAGGCCCACCAAGGCGACGAUCCGUAGCUGGUCUGAGAGGAUGAUCAGCCACACUGGAACUGAGACACGGUCCAGACUCCUGAGGGAGGCAGCAGUGGGGAAUAUUGGACAAUGGGCGCAAGCCUGAUCCAGCCAUACCGCGUGGGUGAAGAAGGCCUUCGGGUUGUAAAGCCCUUUUGUUGGGAAAGAAAAGCAGCAGGUUAAUACCCCGCUGUUCUGACGGUACCCAAAGAAUAAGCACCGGCUAACUUCGUG